GUGCUCACUUUGGCAGCCCAUAUACUAAAAUUGGAGCAAUACAGAGAAGAUUAGCAUAGCCCCUGCACAAAACUGACACAUAAAUUUGUAACGUAUUCCAUAUUUAA